AGUGCACAGGCAUAGCGCCUGUGCUUUUCGGUACCCUAAGGCGGUACCAGAAUAAGGGCUGGGCAAGACCGGUGCCAGCCGCCGCGGUAAUACCGGCAGCCCAAGUGAUGGCCGAUCUUAUUGGGCCUAAAGCGUCCGUAGCUGGCCGCGCAAGUCCAUCGGGAAAUCCACCUGCUCAACAGGUGGGCGCCCGGUAGAAAACUGCGUGGCUUGGGACCGGAAGGCGCGACGGGUACGUCCGGGGUAGGAGUGAAAUCCCGUAAUCCUGGACGGACCGCCGAUGGCGAAAGCACGUCGCGAGAACGGAUCCGACAGUGAGGGACGAAAGCCAGGGUCUCGAACCGGAUUAGAUACCCAGGGUAGUCCUGGCCGUAAACAAUGUCUGCUAGGUGUGGCUCCCACUACGAGUGGGUGCUGUGCCGUAGGGAAGCCGCUAAGCAGACCGC
rnacentral:rRNA from 1 species